rnacentral:sRNA from 2 species
GAGUGUUCCCCUCUGGAGGUUUAGCCUAACGGCACUUCCAAUAACUCAGCCGGGUCUUUCCAGAUCCGGCUUUUUUUCUGUCUUAA